rnacentral:lncRNA from 1 species
AUAAUUACAAACACCCUGCGUGCGUUUACUCCCACAUAUGAUUGUGUUACUAUCUGUUGUGAGACUUUUGAGCCCCUGUUACUUUGAUUUUGCACUUGAGAUUCUUGAUUACAAUGGAGAGUUAGGUACUAAUUGAGCUCUCACAUAUAUGAUUCUGUUCUUUUAGCAUUGACUAGGAAAAACCAGAUAAGUUUAGCUUUGAUCAUCUGCUUUAAGCUAUUAGAAGCCUCCAAUGACAAUGAUGGCAUUUUUUGCUAAACAGGAUUCGUUGGAAAGUAACGGCAACGAGAUAAGGUUGAAGUUAUUGAAUGACAAAUCUAGAGCUUUGAUUUGAGAUUUUGAGGGAAGAGAACUCUUGAGGAAAUGAUCCUUGAAUAAAAUGAUGAAAUAUGCUUAAGAGUUUCAAACGAGAGAAUAUGGUUGUACAAUCGUUAAAUUACAUAUGAAAACUAAUAAAAGGAAAAGAAAAAUAAAAGAAAAAAGCUUAUUACACGUGGACAAAUAAAGAUAGGUUCAUUGCCACUUCAGCCAUAUUUAACAGAUUUCAGCACCGUUAAAUCUCUAACAAUAAAGAGGAGCUCAUAAUAUAGGUUUUCAAUAGGUUAAGUACUUGAUUGCAUUUAAAAUUAGUUUAAAGGCUAAUCAGCUUAUGGCACCAAACGUUAAGGGCAAAAUUGCAUCUUUUCCUAAAA